rnacentral:rRNA from 1 species
UAGGUAGUAUGAGUUAUGUUCUAAAAACUUAAAGAUUUUGGCGGUGUCUUAUGUCUAUAUAGAGGAAUAUGUUUUUUAAUUGAUAAUUCACAAUUAUCUUACUUAGUUUAAGUUUUGUAUACCGCCAUCUCAAGAAUUUUUUAAAAGAAAUAUUUCUGGAUAAAUUAUUUUUAAUAAGUUAGGUCAAGGUGCAGAUUAUGAUUAAGAUAAAAUGUAUUACGUUAAUAAUAUUUUUGAAUUUGGGAAUGAAAUUUUUUAAUGAAAUUGGAUUUGUUUGUAAAUUUAUUUGAUUAUAAUAAUUUGAUAAAAGAUCUAGGACAUGU